rnacentral:rRNA from 1 species
GGUUAAGUUAGAAAGGGCGCACGGUGGAUGCCUUGACACUAGGAGUCGAUGAAGGACGGGACUAACGCCGAUAUGCUUCGGGGAGCUGUAAGUAAGCUUUGAUCCGAAGAUUUCCGAAUGGGGAAACCCACCAUACGUAAUGGUAUGGUAUCCUUAUCUGAAUACAUAGGGUAAGGAAGACAGACCCAGGGAACUGAAACAUCUAAGUACCUGGAGGAAGAGAAAGCAAAUGCGAUUUCCUGAGUAGCGGCGAGCGAAACGGAACAUAGCCCAAACCAAGAGGCUUGCCUCUUGGGGUUGUAGGACAUUCUAUACGGAGUUACAAAGGAACGAGGUAGACGAAGCGACCUGGAAAGGUCCGUCGUAGAGGGUAACAACCCGUAGUCGAAACUUCGUUCUCUCUUGAAUGUAUCCUGAGUACGGCGGAACACGUGAAAUUCCGUCGGAAUCUGGGAGGACCAUCUCCCAAGGCUAAAUACUCCCUAGUGAUCGAUAGUGAACCAGUACCGUGAGGGAAAGGUGAAAAGCACCCCGGAAGGGGAGUGAAAGAGAUCCUGAAACCGUGUGCCUACAAAUAGUCAGAGCCCGUUAACGGGUGAUGGCGUGCCUUUUGUAGAAUGAACCGGCGAGUUACGAUCCCGUGCGAGGUUAAGCUGAAGAGGCGGAGCCGCAGCGAAAGCGAGUCUGAAUAGGGCGUUUAGUACGUGGUCGUAGACCCGAAACCAGGUGAUCUACCCAUGUCCAGGGUGAAGUUCAGGUAACACUGAAUGGAGGCCCGAACCCACGCACGUUGAAAAGUGCGGGGAUGAGGUGUGGGUAGCGGAGAAAUUCCAAUCGAACCUGGAGAUAGCUGGUUCUCCCCGAAAUAGCUUUAGGGCUAGCCUUAAGUGUAAGAGUCUUGGAGGUAGAGCACUGAUUGGACUAGGGGUCCUCAUCGGAUUACCGAAUUCAGUCAAACUCCGAAUGCCAAUGACUUAUCCUUAGGAGUCAGACUGCGAGUGAUAAGAUCCGUAGUCAAAAGGGAAACAGCCCAGACCGCCAGCUAAGGUCCCAAAGUGUGUAUUAAGUGGAAAAGGAUGUGGAGUUGCUUAGACAACUAGGAUGUUGGCUUAGAAGCAGCCACCAUUUAAAGAGUGCGUAAUAGCUCACUAGUCGAGUGACUCUGCGCCGAAAAUGUACCGGGGCUAAAUACACCACCGAAGCUGCGGAUUGAUACCAAUGGUAUCAGUGGUAGGGGAGCGUUCUAAGGACAGUGAAGUCAGACCGGAAGGACUGGUGGAGUGCUUAGAAGUGAGAAUGCCGGUAUGAGUAGCGAAAGACGGGUGAGAAUCCCGUCCACCGAAUGCCUAAGGUUUCCUGAGGAAGGCUCGUCCGCUCAGGGUUAGUCAGGACCUAAGCCGAGGCCGACAGGCGUAGGCGAUGGACAACAGGUUGAUAUUCCUGUACCACCUCUUUAUCGUUUGAGCAAUGGAGGGACGCAGAAGGAUAGAAGAAGCGUGCGAUUGGUUGUGCACGUCCAAGCAGUUAGGCUGAUAAGUAGGCAAAUCCGCUUAUCGUGAAGGCUGAGCUGUGAUGGGGAAGCUCCUUAUGGAGCGAAGUCUUUGAUUCCCCGCUGCCAAGAAAAGCUUCUAGCGAGAUAAAAGGUGCCUGUACCGCAAACCGACACAGGUAGGCGAGGAGAGAAUCCUAAGGUGUGCGAGAGAACUCUGGUUAAGGAACUCGGCAAAAUGACCCCGUAACUUCGGGAGAAGGGGUGCUUUCUUAACGGAAAGCCGCAGUGAAUAGGCCCAAGCGACUGUUUAGCAAAAACACAGCUCUCUGCGAAGCCGUAAGGCGAAGUAUAGGGGGUGACACCUGCCCGGUGCUGGAAGGUUAAGGAGAGGGGUUAGCGUAAGCGAAGCUCUGAACUGAAGCCCCAGUAAACGGCGGCCGUAACUAUAACGGUCCUAAGGUAGCGAAAUUCCUUGUCGGGUAAGUUCCGACCCGCACGAAAGGUGUAACGAUUUGGGCACUGUCUCAACCAGAGACUCGGUGAAAUUAUAGUACCUGUGAAGAUGCAGGUUACCCGCGACAGGACGGAAAGACCCCGUGGAGCUUUACUGUAGCCUGAUAUUGAAUUUUGGUACAGUUUGUACAGGAUAGGCGGGAGCCUUUGAAACCGGAGCGCUAGCUUCGGUGGAGGCGCUGGUGGGAUACCGCCCUGACUGUAUUGAAAUUCUAACCUACGGGUCUUAUCGACCCGGGAGACAGUGUCAGGUGGGCAGUUUGACUGGGGCGGUCGCCUCCUAAAGUGUAACGGAGGCGCCCAAAGGUUCCCUCAGAAUGGUUGGAAAUCAUUCGUAGAGUGCAAAGGCAUAAGGGAGCUUGACUGCGAGACCUACAAGUCGAGCAGGGACGAAAGUCGGGCUUAGUGAUCCGGUGGUUCCGCAUGGAAGGGCCAUCGCUCAACGGAUAAAAGCUACCCCGGGGAUAACAGGCUUAUCUCCCCCAAGAGUCCACAUCGACGGGGAGGUUUGGCACCUCGAUGUCGGCUCAUCGCAUCCUGGGGCUGUAGUCGGUCCCAAGGGUUGGGCUGUUCGCCCAUUAAAGCGGUACGCGAGCUGGGUUCAGAACGUCGUGAGACAGUUCGGUCCCUAUCCGUCGUGGGCGUAGGAAAUUUGAGAGGAGCUGUCCUUAGUACGAGAGGACCGGGAUGGACGCACCGCUGGUGUACCAGUUGUUCUGCCAAGGGCAUAGCUGGGUAGCUAUGUGCGGAAGGGAUAAGUGCUGAAAGCAUCUAAGCAUGAAGCCCCCCUCAAGAUGAGAUUUCCCAUAGCGUAAGCUAGUAAGAUCCCUGAAAGAUGAUCAGGUUGAUAGGUUCGAGGUGGAAGCAUGGUGACAUGUGGAGCUGACGAAUACUAAUAGAUCGAGGACUUAACCAU